rnacentral:rRNA from 1 species
UACGUAGGUGGCAAGCGUUGUUCGGAAUUAUUGGGCGUAAAGGGCGCGUAGGCGGUUUGUUAAGUCGGUCGUGAAAGCCCGGGGCUCAACCCCGGAGGGUCGACCGAUACUGGCAGACUAGAGUACAGAAGAGGUAACUGGAAUUCCUGGUGUAGCGGUGAAAUGCGCAGAUAUCAGGAGGAACACCGGUGGCGAAGGCGGGUCUCUGGGCCGAUACUGACGCUGAGGAGCGAAAGCGUGGGGAGCGAACAGG